GAUGGCCGAGCGGUCUAAGGCGCUAGCUUCAGGUGCUAGUAGAGAAAUCUGCGUGGGUUCGAGUACGUUCUACCACACAGUACU